UACGUAGGGGGCAAGCGUUGUCCGGAUUUAUUGGGCGUAAAGAGCGUGUAGGCGGCCAUACAGGUCCGUUGUGAAAACUCGAGGCUUAACCUCGAGACGUCGAUGGAAACCGUAUGGCUAGAGUCCGGAAGAGGAGAGUGGAAUUCCUGGUGUAGCGGUGAAAUGCGCAGAUAUCAGGAAGAACACCGAUUGCGAAGGCAGCUCGCUGGGACGUCACUGACGCUGAGACGCGAAAGCGUGGGGAGCAAACAGG
rnacentral:rRNA from 1 species